CGCCUAACACAUGCAAGUCGAACGAAGUAGCAAUACUUAGUGGCAGACGGGUGAGUAACAUGUGGGUAUCUACCCUUUGGCCUGGAAUAACACGAGGAAACUUGUGCUAAUACCGGAUAAGUCUUUACGGAGAAAGCUUUAUGCACCAUUGGAUGAGCCCGCACUUGAUUAGUUUGUUGGUAGGGUAAUGGCCUACCAAGACUAUGAUCAAUAGCUGAUUUGAGAGGAUGAUCAGCCACAUUGGGACUGAGACACGGCCCAAACUCCUACGGGAGGCAGCAGUGGGGAAUCUUGCACAAUGGAGGAAACUCUGAUGCAGCGAUGCCGCGUGAGUGAAGAAGGCCUUUGGGUUGUAAAGCUCUUUCGUCGGGGAAGAAAAUGACUGUACCCGAAUAAGAAGGUCCG
rnacentral:rRNA from 1 species